rnacentral:lncRNA from 1 species
CCGAGUCGAUCAGCUGGUCGCAGUUGCAUUGGAUCCGACGACGCAGUUGUGAGAUCAUCAGGGUAUCAUGCAUCUUCUUCUAAUCAAAUUAAUAAUAAUCUGGUGCUGGAAUUAAUAUGAUUUUUCUGUUGAUGCUGUCCUUCUUCUUUAAUCAAUCUUCAAUUUUGCAGGGAGGGUCGAAACGAUGAUGGCGGCGCUCAAGAACAAGAGGAUGGCCGUGGCCAUCGUGCUGAUGCUGGCCAUGCUUGCCAUGGCGAUGACGGUUGCGGCGAAUUGUAUAUGUGACUUUUGCAACUGCGAAUGCGACGAGUACUGCCAGCAUAUAUGUCCUGUAGAAUGCGGGUGAUACUUGCGCCUACACCUAGCUUGUUCCAACAAUAAGCCAUGCCCGUCUGUGUGUAUGCAAUGUACCUGCCAUAUCUCUUGGCAAAGAUUAAUGUUUGUUAAGAUCUUUCAUGAGUUUUUUGAGCUACCGUACCAAUAAAAGUGCUAGAGAGCAUUGAGUGUGCAUCAUUUUCAUGGCUAGCUUCAUAAGAUCAAAC